CAUAUCAACUUUCAAUGCCAGUUUCUGCAACUACCAUGGAGACCAAGGGUAACGGGGAAUCAGGGUUCCAUUCCG